UGGGGAAUUUUGGACAAUGGGCGAAAGCCUGAUCCAGCAAUGCCGCGUGUGUGAAGAAGGCCUUCGGGUUGUAAAGCACUUUUGUCCGGAAAGAAAUCCUUGGCUCUAAUACAGUCGGGGGAUGACGGUACCGGAAGAAUAAGCACCGGCUAACUACGUGCCAGCAGCCGCGGUAAUACGUAGGGUGCAAGCGUUAAUCGGAAUUACUGGGCGUAAAGCGUGCGCAGGCGGUUUGCUAAGACCGAUGUGAAAUCCCCGGGCUCAACCUGGGAACUGCAUUGGUGACUGGCAGGCUAGAGUAUGGCAGAGGGGGGUAGAAUUCCACGUGUAGCAGUGAAAUGCGUAGAGAUGUGGAGGAAUACCGAUGGCGAAGGCAGCCCCCUGGGCCAAUACUGACGCUCAUGCACGAAAGCGUGGGGAGCAAACAGGAUUAGAUACCCUGGUAGUCCACGCCCUAAACGAUGUCAACUAGUUGUUGGGGAUUCAUUUCCUUAGUAACGUAGCUAACGCGUGAAGUUGACCGUC
rnacentral:rRNA from 1 species